rnacentral:sRNA from 1 species
GUAUUCGGGGCCAAAUGAAAAGUUGGAGGAGAACAAGAUGGAGACAGGAGAUGAGAAGAAGCCGAAGGAGAUGGUGUCCCAGUGCUGGAGAAUACCGAAGCAGGAAACAAUGGUCAUGGAGAUGGAACAGGGUACCAAGCCAGAACUCGGACCUGAGAGGACCUAGCAAAGGGGCCUGAGUGGUGGAACCUGGGACAUUAAACUGGAGGAGCCUGCCCAGUCUGAGACAUUGGAAUAAGAGGUGGACUUGGAAUAUUUGAAUGUGGGUGUGAAUAAAACCAAACUGGUUAUAAAAUAGAUUCUGCUCUCCCUACUCUGCACUCUAACCCAGGAGCCCCAUUCCCUCCACUCCCCUCCACAGCAUCCAGCCUCUUCAUCACAGAUGAGGAAUCCAGUAAGAAAAGGCUGCUUUUCCGGGAUUCAGCUUCAGACCAACUAAUGGAGAGUUUCUGGGCAUGAGAAUUCCGUGUCAGCAUGUCAAAGCACCUCUACUGUACACCUGAGGCUGAAAACUAAUGAUACCAUACCCAGACCACAGUACCCAGACCACAGUACCCAGACCACAGUACCCAGACCACAGUACCCAGACCACAGUACCCAGACCACAGUACCCAGACCACAGUACCCAGACCACAGUACCCAGACCACAGUACCCAGACCACAGUACCCAGACCACAGUACCCAGACCACAGUACCCAGACCACAGUACCCAGACCAGUGAUUCUGAAACUUCAGUGCAUGUAUGAACCUGCUAGAGGGCCUAUGAAAAUAAACUGCUGACUCCA